UAAUACGUAGGUGGCAAGCGUUGUCCGGAAUUAUUGGGCGUAAAGAGCAUGUAGGCGGCCUAUUAAGUCGGGCGUGAAAAUGCGGGGCUCAACCCCGUAUGGCGCCCGAUACUGGUGGGCUUGAGUGCAGGAGAGGAAAGGGGAAUUCCCAGUGUAGCGGUGAAAUGCGUAGAUAUUGGGAGGAACACCAGUGGCGAAGGCGCCUUUCUGGACUGUGUCUGACGCUGAGAUGCGAAAGCCAGGGGAGCGAACGGG
rnacentral:rRNA from 1 species